CCUACGGGUGGCAGCAGUGAGGAAUAUUGGUCAAUGGGCGGACGCCUGAACCAGCCAAGUCGCGUGAGGGAAGACUGCCCUAUGGGUUGUAAACCUCUUUUGUCAGGGAGCAAUUGGCGCUACGUGUAGCGUUAUCGAGAGUACCUGAAGAAAAAGCAUCGGCUAACUCCGUGCCAGCAGCCGCGGUAAUACGGAGGAUGCGAGCGUUAUCCGGAUUUAUUGGGUUUAAAGGGGGCGUAGGCGGAAUGCCAAGUCAGCGGUAAAAUCGCGGGGCUCAACCUCGCUCCGCCGUUGAAACUGGCGGUCUUGAGUGGGCGAGAAGUAUGCGGAAUGCGUGGUGUAGCGGUGAAAUGCAUAGAUAUCACGCAGAACUCCGAUUGCGAAGGCAGCAUACCGGCGCCCAACUGACGCUGAAGCACGAAAGCGUGGGUAUCGAACAGUAUUAGAUACCCGGGUAGUC
rnacentral:rRNA from 1 species